AGGUCCCUUAUAAAAAGGGAUGAUCGAAGAUUCUCUCUUGGAACGUAUUUCAGCUUCUUUCAGUUCCUAUGGAAGGAGCAGACUUGACUGAUGUGGAGCUGAAGAGACAGGAAGUGUGAAAGCCUCACUGCGUUCAUCCGUUAAUGGAUCUACCUGAAUCACACAGAAUGUUCUGUGAGACCAGUUCCAAGGGGAACUUGUCUACAUAUCCUAGGGUACAGCUCAUCUGAAGAGGGAAGGGGCUGAAGAAAGGUGAGAUCCAAUGCGGAGGCAAUCAGCAGAAGUAAAAUUAAGCGCAUCAAGUUUGUCAGUCAGUGAUGGACCAAGAGGUCUCUCAGCCAUAUUCCAGAUGGAACGUUGCCAUCUUGGUAAAUUAAUAGAAGUUUAAGCCAAAGCCUCAGUGACAGUAUGCAUUUCCAUGGAAGGGAGCCGUGUUGCAUAAAGCCAGAGCUCUCCUCGUUUCCAUGUAGCUUCAAGCCUGCUAUUUUGCAGUACUUCAAUCACAUAUCAACAUACAGCAGCAAACUCUGAAAACGACAUAAUGAAAUACAAGCAGCACUCACCAAGUUGCUUCUGUGGUGACUAUUUCUAUCUGAAGAUGCAUGGAUGCAUGUUUUUGUUCAGCUUGUUCUACCAGUAUCAACCUUCAUAUCCAGUAGCUGUGAGAAACAAAGAGGUUAAACCUCAUCAAGAUGAAGUAGUGCCUCAUGUGAGGGUUAAGCAGAAAGAAAAAAACGUGCAAUGAGUUCAGAAGAACAUUGCACACCUCAAAAGAAGACAAGCCUGGAAAGUAAACCUCUGUUGUCUUACCUAAAAUGAAGAAAACAAGCUAGCUUAAAUGCCACCCUAAGAGAAACAGAAGAUGAUGGAGGCAGAGAAGACCACGGAGGUGAGGUUUUCAGCAGUCACAAAGGAGGAAAAAUGCUGGUGAGAGGAAUACUUGGAAACAGAAGGAUAGGAGUAACAGCGUGAAAGCAAAAAGAACUACACACAUCUGAUGAAGAUGCACUCUUUGUUUUUUUCUGUUUUCUAUCAUCUACCCACUCUCCAAAGACCAAAAAGGAGACAAGGGAUAUUUCUAUCUGAUUUAAUGAAGUGGAAAACUAUCAAUCCCCAUUGUGUAGCAAUAUUGGAAAUGAAUGGGCAUUAAUACACGUGUAUUUUUUGGAGGACACCGCUGGCACGAUUAGUUGUGGUGAAGGUGGUGAAAAUGAAGUAAAAGAAAAGGAAAAAGGAAAAAGGAAAAAAAAAAAUCUCAUCCCCAGCAGAGAGAAAAGCAAUAAUUCUGAAGCCGUGGGCACCAGGAGUAUGUAAGACAAAGCUGUCCAAGAGGAGGGAGGACAGGAGGACAACAUUUUAGAUACACUUGCACUG